CCUACGGGAGGCUGCAGUGAGGAAUAUUGGUCAAUGGGCGCGAGCCUGAACCAGCCAAGUAGCGUGAAGGAUGACUGCCCUACGGGUUGUAAACUUCUUUUAUAAAGGAAUAAAGUGAGGCACGUGUGCCUUAUUGUAUGUACUUUAUGAAUAAGGAUCGGCUAACUCCGUGCCAGCAGCCGCGGUAAUACGGAGGAUCCGAGCGUUAUCCGGAUUUAUUGGGUUUAAAGGGAGCGUAGAUGGGUUGUUAAGUCAGUUGUGAAAGUUUGCGGCUCAACCGUAAAAUUGCAAUUGAUACUGGCAGUCUUGAGUACAGUAGAGGUAGGCGGAAUUCGUGGUGUAGCGGUGAAAUGCUUAGAUAUCACGAAGAACUCCGAUUGCGAAGGCAGCUUACUAAACUGCCACUGACAUUGAUGCUCGAAAGUGUGGGUAUCAAACAGGAUUAGAUACCCUGGUAGUC
rnacentral:rRNA from 1 species